rnacentral:rRNA from 2 species
AUUCCAGCUCCAAUAGCGUAUAUUAAAGUUGUUGCAGUUAAAAAGCUCGUAGUUGGAUUUGUGGUGGUGCCUGCGGUCCAAAAUGUUUUGGUGCUGUCUGGCACUGCCAUCCUUGGGUGGAACCUGUGGGGCAUUAGGUUGUUUUGCAGGGGAUGCCCAUCGUUUACUGUGAAAAAAUUAGAGUGUUCAAAGCAGGCUUACGCCGUUGAAUAUAUUAGCAUGGAAUAAUGAGAUAGGACUCUGGUGCUAUUUUGUUGGUUUGCGCACCGAAGUAAUGAUUAAUAGGGACAGUUGGGGGUAUUCGUAUUCCAUUGUCAGAGGUGAAAUUCUUGGAUUUUUGGAAGACGAACUACUGCGAAAGCAUUUACCAAGGAUGUU